CGCGGUGAAUACGUUCCCGGACCUUGUACGCACCGCCCGUCAAGCCAUGGAAGUCUGGGAGACCUGAAGACGGUGGCCGUUAAAGGAGCCGUUAAGGGUAAAACAGGUAACUGGGGCU
rnacentral:rRNA from 1 species